UAAGGAAUAUUGCGCAAUGGGCGAAAGCCUGACGCAGCGACGCCGCGUGGGGGAUGAAGGUCUUCGGAUUGUAAACCCCUUUCGGGAGGGAAGAUGGAAUGGGGUAACCCAUUCGGACGGUACCUCCAGAAGCAGCCACGGCUAACUUCGUGCCAGCAGCCGCGGUAAUACGAAGGUGGCAAGCGUUAUUCGGAUUUACUGGGCGUACAGGGAGCGUAGGCGGUUCGGUAAGCCCUUUGUGAAAUCUCCAGGCUUAACCUGGAAAAGUCGGAGGGGACUGCCGGGCUAGAGGACGGGAGAGGAGCGCGGAAUUCCCGGUGUAGCGGUGAAAUGCGUAGAGAUCGGGAGGAAGGCCGGUGGCGAAGGCGGCGCUCUGGAACGUUUCUGACGCUGAGGCUCGAAAGCGUGGGGAGCAAACAGGAUUAGAUACCCCAGUAGUCCCUGAGCGGGCUGGCAAGGCGCAU
rnacentral:rRNA from 1 species